rnacentral:ncRNA from 1 species
CGGCUUAAUUUGACUCAACACGGGGAAACUCACCAGGUCCAGACAAAAUAAGGAUUGACAGAUUGAGAGCUCUUUCUUGAUCUUUUGGGAUGGUGGUGCAUGGCCGUUCUUAGUUGGUGGAGUGAUUUGUCUGCUUAAUUGCGAUAACGAAACGAGACCUUAAACCUGCUAAAUAGCCCCGGCCCCGCGUCUGGCGGGGCCGCUGGCUUCUUAGAGGGGACAAAUCGGCUUCAGGCCGAUUGAAAUGUGGGGGGAAUAACAGGUCUUGUUAACGCCCUUAAAAUUUUUUUGUGCCCG